UGGAGUAUGUGGUUAAUUCGAUGCAACGCGAAGAACUUACCUGGUCUUGACAUCCCGGAGACCCUUAGGAAACUAAGGGGGUGCUUCCAUCUGGAAGAAUCUGGAGACAGGUGCUGCAUGGCUGUCGUCAGCUCGUGUCGUGAGAUGUUGGGUUAAGUCCCGCAACGAGCGCAACCCUUGCCUUUAGUUGCCAGCAGUUCGGCUGGGCACUCUAAAGGGACUGCCGGUGUUAAACCGGAGGAAGGUGGGGAUGACGUCAAGUCCUCAUGGCCUUUAUGACCAGGGCUACACACGUACUACAAUGGCCGAUACAAAGGGCAGCGACACUGCGAGGUGAAGCCAAUCCCGUAAAAUCGGUCUCAGUCCGGAUUGGAGUCUGCAACUCGACUCCAUGAAGUUGGAAUCGCUAGUAAUCGUGGAUCAGCAUGCCACGGUGAAUACGUUCCCGGGCCUU
rnacentral:rRNA from 1 species